GACAGAGGGUGCAAACGUUGUUCGGAAUUACUGGGCGUAAAGCGCGUGUAGGCUGCUUCGCAAGUCGGGUGUGAAAGCCCUGGGCUCAACCUAGGAAGUGCACUCGAAACUGCGAAGCUGGAGUCCUGGAGAGGAAGGCGGAAUUCUCGGUGUAGAGGUGAAAUUCGUAGAUAUCGAGAGGAACACCGGUGGCGAAGGCGGCCUUCUGGACAGUGACUGACGCUGAGACGCGAAAGCAUGGGGAGCAAACAGG
rnacentral:rRNA from 1 species